rnacentral:rRNA from 1 species
UGGGGAAUAUUGCACAAUGGGCGGAAGCCUGAUGCAGCGACGCCGCGUGGGGGAUGAAGGCCUUCGGGUUGUAAACUCCUUUCGACAGGGACGAAGCGUAAGUGACGGUACCUGUAUAAGAAGCACCGGCUAACUACGUGCCAGCAGCCGCGGUAAUACGUAGGGUGCGAGCGUUGUCCGGAAUUACUGGGCGUAAAGAGCUCGUAGGUGGUUUGUCGCGUCGUCUGUGAAAUUCCGGGGCUUAAUUCCGGGCGUGCAGGCGAUACGGGCUGACUUGAGUGCUGUAGGGGAGACUGGAAUUCCUGGUGUAGCGGUGAAAUGCGCAGAUAUCAGGAGGAACACCGAUGGCGAAGGCAGGUCUCUGGGCAGUAACUGACGCUGAGGAGCGAAAGCAUGGGUAGCGAACAGGAUUAGAUACCCUGGUAGUCCAUGCCGUAAACGGUGGGCGCUAGGUGUAGGGGGCUUCCACGUCUUCUGUGCCGUAGCUAACGCAUUAAGCGCCCCGCCUGGGGAGUACGGCCGCAAGGCUA